AGAUACAAAGAAACAGACUCUAUGGUCUCCUUCAUUGGUAAUAAUUAGAAUGUGCCCAUAAAUCGACAAGUAAAUCCAAUGGAUAGCAAAACACAAACAAUUACACUUCAACAUGACUAAUGAAACAGCAGUCUAAACAUUCACACAGUGAGACCGAA